rnacentral:rRNA from 1 species
GGGUCAGUAGGUUGGUCGUGCCACCGGUACGUACUGGUCUCACUGAUUCCUCCUUCCUGUCGAACCGUAAUGCCAUUAAUUUGGUGUUGCGGGGAAACAGGACUGUUACUUUGAAAAAAUUAGAGUGUUUAAAGCAAGCUAACGCUUGAAUACAUUAGCAUGGAAUAAUGAAAUAGGACGAUCGAUCCUAUUUUGUUGGUUUCUAGGAUUGACGUA